AGCUUUAUAGUCAAUUUAUGAUAUUAGAUUGCAAAUCUAGAGUAGAUUUUUAAAUCUAAAGCUU
rnacentral:tRNA from 1 species